GCACAUGGCGGAUGUCUUGGCGUCAAGAGGCGAUGAAGGACGUGGGAACCUGCGAAAAGUUCAGGGGAGCCGGUAACCAGGCUGUGAUCCUGAAAUGUCCGAAUGGGGAAACCCGGCCGUAAGGUCACUCUUACCUGAAUGCAUAGGGUAAGAGAGCGAACCUGGGGAACUGAAACAUCUAAGUACCCAGAGGAAAGGAAAUCAACCG
rnacentral:rRNA from 1 species